GCGUAAGGGUGCGUAACACGUAUGCAAUCUGCCCGCAACAGGAGGAUAGCUCCCCGAAAGGGGAAUUAAUACUCCAUAACACCAUUUGAGGGCAUCUGAAGAUGGUUAAACUACAAGGGGUUGCGGAUGAGCAUGCGGUUGAUUAGCUAGUUGGCGGGGUAAAGGCCCACCAAGGCGAUGAUCAAUAGGGGAACUGAGAGGUUUAUCCCCCACACUGGCACUGAGAUACGGGCCAGACUCCUACGGGAGGCAGCAGUAGGGAAUAUUGGACAAUGGGCGAGAGCCUGAUCCAGCCAUGCCGCGUGCAGGAAGAAGGCCUUCUGGGUUGUAAACUGCUUUUGCCAGGGGAUAAAAAGUCCCUGCGGGGAAAAUUGAAGGUACCUGGUGAAUAAGCCACGGCUAACUACGUGCCAGCCGCCGCGG
rnacentral:rRNA from 1 species